rnacentral:lncRNA from 1 species
CUGCUGCGGACCACUGGGCGCUGGCUGCUCCCGCUCGCCUCUUGGGGUGCGCUCGGCUCCAGCCCAACUCCGCCAGCUCCGCCAGCUCCGCCAGCUUCGCCGGCUCCAGCACCGCUCCAGCCCGAUUCCAGCCCGAUUCCAGCCCGGUUCCAGCCCGGUUCCAGCCCGGUUCCAGCCCAGCUCCGUCCCGGCUCCGGUUCUCCGCCACGCCUCUCUGUCGACGCUGAGGAGCAGCUUCGCAGGAAAAUCCCAGAAACCUUUGCAAAAAGCUUACAAUGAAAUUUAAGAAGUUCUACGAUUUCGGCGCCAUUUUCGAGUGGAGUGAGAGGUGACCAUCGAUGGUUUUUUCCUCCAC